rnacentral:rRNA from 1 species
CUACGGGUUGCAGCAGUAAGGGAUAUUGCGACAAUGGGCGAAAGCCUGACGCAGCAACGCCGCGUGUGGGAUGACGGCCUUCGGGUUGUAAACCACUUUUGAGGGAGAAGAGGAAGGACGGUACCCCUCGAAUAAGUCUCGGCUAACUACGUGCCAGCAGCCGCGGUAAAACGUAGGAGGCGAACGUUAUCCGGAUUUACUGGGUGUAAAGCGCGUGCAGGCGGGAUGGUAAGUUGCUUGUGAAAGCGCCCGGCUCAACCGGGCGAGGACGAGCAAAACUGCCGACCUGGAGGUGGGUAGAGGCGUAUGGAAUUCCGGGUGUAGUGGUGAAAUGCGUAGAGAUCCGGAGGAACACCAGUGGCGAAGGCGAUACGCUGGGCCUAACCUGACGCUAAGACGCGAAAGCAUGGGGAGCGAACGGGAUUAGAUACCCCCGUAGUC